AACGAACGCUGGCGGCAGGCCUAACACAUGCAAGUCGAACGCUCAUAGCAAUACGGGAGUGGCAGACGGGUGAGUAACGCGUGGGAAUCUACCCAAUGGUACGGAAUAACUCAGGGAAACUUGAGCUAAUACCGUAUGUGCCCGAAAGGGGAAAGAUUUAUCGCCAUUGGAUGAGCCCGCGUCGGAUUAGCUAGUUGGUGGGGUAACGGCCCACCAAGGCGACGAUCCGUAGCUGGUCUGAGAGGAUGAUCAGCCACACUGGGACUGAGACACGGCCCAGACUCCUACGGGAGGCAGCAGUGGGGAAUAUUGGACAAUGGGCGCAAGCCUGAUCCAGCCAUGCCGCGUGAGUGAUGAAGGCCCUAGGGUUGUAAAGCUCUUUCGGCGGGGACGAUAAUGACGGUACCCGCAGAAGAAGCCCCGGCUAACUUCGUGCCAGCCGCCGCUGUAACAC
rnacentral:rRNA from 1 species